rnacentral:lncRNA from 1 species
UAUCUCAUAUACUAAAGCAAAUAAUUUUGUCACCUCACUUGAUGAUGUGGCGUGACUGUUAAUUAAGAUAAUUCACAAAAUAGGCCGGCGGGAUUUCAAUUCUCUUGCUCCUCCUUCUCCUUGAAACUGUGGCUUUAUGUUUUAGGAAAUCACAAAUUUCUCUCAAUCAGUUUCAAUCUUUCCAUAAUCAUGAAAUAGUCUCACCUGUUCUUUGAUAAUCGAUCUUUCCAUAAUUAUGAAAUCCUUCUCUUGCAAGCUGUAUAUUCAAAUUAAAAACCCUCAACCUUCAUCUUUUUUGCGAUUAUUCUCAGCCACUCUUCCCUGCUGUAUUUUUUUUUAUGUGGGUGAGUUCUUCAGUUGGUAAUGCUUUUUAUUUUACUCAAUCUUAUUGUUUAAUUGAUCCAGUAUUAGUAUAUUUUAUGUUUAGAUUUAGGUUUUAUUCAUGUCUUUGAUGAAUCUCUGUUUUGAUUUUGGGGUUUUAUAAAUCAGAAACCCUAAUUUUUGGCGAUUGUGUGUUGUUCGUUUUAAAUCCGAUUCAGUGCUUAUCAAAAGCUUUUCCUUUCACAAAUACUUGAUCUGUAGGAGGCGAUUGUCAUUGAAGUGAUUGUUCAACACCCUUAAUCGUAACCAUAUGAACUAGAUGAUGGUAUGUUAAGUUUUAUUUACAUCAACUUUUGGUGCUUUUAAUCUUACAAUCCUACGUUUCUACAGAAAAUCCUAAUUAUUUGUAGCUUAUUUUGUGUUAGAAUUUGUAGAAUUUGUAGAAUUUGUGAUAAUAUGUAACCAGAUCUAUUGAUUUAGUAUUUUGAUUACUCUGAUCUGUGGUGUUGAGCGAUCUUUGUUAAGGUUCAUAAAGUCUAAGUUGAGGAAAGAAGUUGAUGAGGUUGUAAUAUUUCAAGAUGGAAUGUAUCUGACUUUAAGAGAAAUUUUUGAGAGCUUGAAUUUAAAUUGGUAAUAAAAAAACCAUUUGAAUGUUGCAUACUUUUUUUUAUGUAUAUCACUUAUUCAUAGAUUUGCUGUUCGAAUUUCAUUCAAUUGCUCUUAGGGAUGUAUGUUCUUAUCUUGAUUUAGUUCUCUAAAAUUUUGUGUUUUUUAUACCUUUAUACUUUUAUGUAUUGACUUGAUGACAUUC